UACGUAGGGUGCAAGCGUUGUCCGGAAUUAUUGGGCGUAAAGAGCUCGUAGGCGGUCAGUCGCGUCUGCUGUGAAAACCCGGAGCUCAACUCCGGGCCUGCAGUCGAUACGGGCAGACUGGAGUUCGGCAGGGAGACUGGAAUUCCUGGUGUAGCGGUGGAAUGCGCAGAUAUCAGGAGGAACACCGGUGGCGAAGGCGGGUCUCUGGGCCGAUACUGACACUGAGAAGCGAAAGCGUGGGGAGCGAACAGG
rnacentral:rRNA from 1 species